UUCGGAGGGUGCAAGCGUUAUCCGGAUUCACUGGGUUUAAAGGGUGCGUAGGUGGGCUGGUAAGUCAGUGGUGAAAUCUCCAGGCUUAACUUGGAAACUGCCAUUGAUACUAUCAGUCUUGAAUACCGUGGAGGUCAGCGGAAUAUGUCAUGUAGCGGUGAAAUGCUUAGAUAUGACAUAGAACACCAAUUGCGAAGGCAGCUGGCUACACGAAUAUUGACACUGAUGCACGAAAGCGUGGGGAUCAAACAGG
rnacentral:rRNA from 1 species